UACGGGGGGAGCAAGCGUUGUUCGGAUUUACUGGGCGUAAAGGGCGCGUAGGCGGCGCAACAAGUCACUUGUGAAAUCUCCGGGCUUAACCCGGAGCGGCCAAGUGAUACUGUCGUGCUAGAGUGCGGAAGGGGCUACUGGAAUUCUCGGUGUAGCGGUGAAAUGCGUAGAUAUCGAGAGGAACACCUGCGGCGAAGGCGAGUCUCUGGACAUUUCCUGACGCUGAGGCACGAAAGCCAGGGGAGCAAACGGG
rnacentral:rRNA from 1 species